GAAUGCUGACAUAAGUAACGAUAAAGCGGGUGAAAAGCCCGCUCGCCGGAAGACCAAGGGUUCCUGUCCAACGUUAAUCGGGGCAGGGUGAGUCGACCCCUAAGGCGAGGCCGAAAGGCGUAGUCGAUGGGAAACGGGUUAAUAUUCCCGUACUUGGUGUUACUGCGAAGGGGGGACGGAGAAGGCUAUGUUGGCCGGGCGACGGUUGUCCCGGUUUAAGCGUGUAGGUGUGUGUUCCAGGUAAAUCCGGUUCACUUUAACACUGAGGCGUGACGACGAGGCACUACGGUGCUGAAGCAACAAAUGCCCUGCUUCCAGGAAAAGCCUCUAAGCAUCAGGUAACAUCAAAUCGUACCCCAAACCGACACAGGUGGUCAGGUAGAGAAUACCAAGGCGCUUGAGAGAACUCGGGUGAAGGAACUAGGCAAAAUGGUGCCGUAACUUCGGGAGAAGGCACGCUGACAUGUAGGUGAAGUGAUUUACUCAUGGAGCUGAAGUCAGUCGAAGAUACCAGCUGGCUGCAACUGUUUAUUAAAAACACAGCACUGUGCAAACACGAAAGUGGACGUAUACGGUGUGACGCCUGCCCGGUGCCGGAAGGUUAAUUGAUGGGGUCAGCGCAAGCGAAGCUCCUGAUCGAAGCCCCGGUAAACGGCGGCCGUAACUAUAACGGUCCUAAGGUAGCGAAAUUCCUUGUCGGGUAAGUUCCGACCUGCACGAAUGGCGUAAUGAUGGCCAGGCUGUCUCCACCCGAGACUCAGUGAAAUUGAACUCGCUGUGAAGAUGCAGUGUACCCGCGGCAAGACGGAAAGACCCCGUGAACCUUUACUAUAGCUUGACACUGAACAUUGAGCCUUGAUGUGUAGGAUAGGUGGGAGGCUUUGAAGUGUGGACGCCAGUCUGCAUGGAGCCGACCUUGAAAUACCACCCUUUAAUGUUUGAUGUUCUAACGUGGACCCGUAAUCCGGGUUGCGGACAGUGUCUGGUGGGUAGUUUGACUGGGGCGGUCUCCUCCUAAAGAGUAACGGAGGAGCACGAAGGUUGGCUAAUCCUGGUCGGACAUCAGGAGGUUAGUGCAAUGGCAUAAGCCAGCUUGACUGCGAGCGUGACGGCGCGAGCAGGUGCGAAAGCAGGUCAUAGUGAUCCGGUGGUUCUGAAUGGAAGGGCCAUCGCUCAACGGAUAAAAGGUACUCCGGGGAUAACAGGCUGAUACCGCCCAAGAGUUCAUAUCGACGGCGGUGUUUGGCACCUCGAUGUCGGCUCAUCACAUCCUGGGGCUGAAGUAGGUCCCAAGGGUAUGGCUGUUCGCCAUUUAAAGUGGUACGCGAGCUGGGUUUAGAACGUCGUGAGACAGUUCGGUCCCUAUCUGCCGUGGGCGCUGGAGAACUGAGGGGGGCUGCUCCUAGUACGAGAGGACCGGAGUGGACGCAUCACUGGUGUUCGGGUUGUCAUGCCAAUGGCACUGCCCGGUAGCUAAAUGCGGAAGAGAUAAGUGCUGAAAGCAUCUAAGCACGAAACUUGCCCCGA
rnacentral:rRNA from 2 species